GAGACACCCUUCUGGGGCAAGACUUGCUUCAGUGGGCCUUUGGUGCUCACUGAGUCUGCCCCCUGAGUGUGUCCCU
rfam:Myotis lucifugus cont2.63817, whole genome shotgun sequence.